UACGUAGGGCGCAAGCGUUGUCCGGAAUCAUUGGGCGUAAAGAGCUCGUAGGUGGUCUGUUACGUCUGCUGUGAAAACCUAGGGCUUAACCCUGGGCCUGCAGUGGAUACGGGCAGACUAGAGGUAGGUAGGGGAGAAUGGAAUUCCCGGUGUAGCGGUGAAAUGCGCAGAUAUCGGGAGGAACACCGGUGGCGAAGGCGGUUCUCUGGGACGGUACUGACGCUGAGACGCGAAAGCGUGGGGAGCGAACAGG
rnacentral:rRNA from 1 species